ACCUUAAAACCUGUGUCUUAGCCAAGCUUGAUCACUUAAGUGAUCACUUGGGAUCACUUGAGUUUAGGAGUUCUGGACUGUGAUGUGCUAUAUGCUGAUCAGGUGUUCCACACUAAGUUAGGUAUUAAUAUGAUGACCUCUGGGAGAGGAGUCUACCAAGUUGCCUCAAGUGGUAGUUAAGUAGCCUAGGUUAGAAACAAAGCAGGUCAAAGCUUGCAUGCUGAUCAGUAGUGGGAUCAUGCCUAUGAAUAGACACUCCACUCCAGCCCAGGCAACAUAGGGAGAUCCCAU
ensembl:misc_RNA Metazoa_SRP Metazoan signal recognition particle RNA